GUUAUUGACUUUGUUCAUCAUCCAAACUCAUCACAAUCAGAAUCAAGUAUCCAAGGCAACACAAGGUUAAAAGCAAAGGAAAAACAAAGUUCAUCAUUUUCCUCAAAUGUUAUCAUUCGCCACAGUAAAUGUCCAAAGUCAACCAGUCAUUCAACCUAGGAGAGUGACUCUCACCGCAUCAAGUGAAGACACCUUUAAGCUACUUUUUUACGUUCAAUAUCAAGGUUUACUUUAACCAUCUUUUCAUCGUCUUUUCAUCUUUCAUUCAUUAUUUAUCAUGUUAAUCAUUUUGUUAAUAAAGGUUUCAACUUUUUGUUCCUGUUUACUUGCUUUUCAUUAAAGUUGUUGCCUUUUGAUUAAAUGUAAUAAAAUUUAAAGCAAUUUAAAGGCUUUCAGCAAUCAGUGCAUAAAUUGACUCAAAAACUAAAUAUUUGCUCUUUUUUUCUCGUUAUAACCGUUUUUUUUAACAUCACCUUAUUGGUGCUUCCAGACAUGAGAGGUAAACUUAAAGGAUUGAAAUGAAAAUGUUCAAUAUUCAUAUUUAGUGUAAUAUUGAGGCAAAAUAGUCAAAAUUGUUUGGCUUUUUAUUUUUGUCUCCUGGUUGUAACCAGAGUUGAGUGUGUGAUGAUAAUUGUUUAGCUGUUCAAAUGUUUGUCAUCAUUUCCAUCAUCAACAUGCAAAGACGACAGAUGUAUUUACCCUGAAGAUGUUCACCUAAUAAUUAAUUAGUUAAAGACUCAGCAUACGGAAUUGAUUUUUAAUCGCCCAAUUCAAUGGCUAUUGUUACUUAACCUUUCAUCAUUUAAUCUCAACAAAUAACUGGUCAAAUAGUACAAAGGAAAGGAGGAAGUCUGACCAUUAUUGACAAUAUCACCUUUAAACCCUCAACAGCAUUGUCAUCAUCAACAGUUAUUAGUUAAUCUCUUUUCAUUUGUUACUUCGGAUGCUUAGAAAUGUUUGAAAGUAACCUUUUUUAUCAAUACAACUUGUUGAUGGUCAAGUUUAAUUAAAAUUAAAUUUUCAUUAAUACAGUUAAAUGUGGCGCCCUUUUGUUGCUCUUCAUUUUAUACGCCUACAUUUUAAGAUUCCCUCUUUCAAUUUGAAAAUGUAUUUAUUCAACCGUUAUUUUUUAAUUUGUCUUGAAGUGUCUUUUAUGUUCAGUGUUUAUUCAGUGUAUUAAAUAGUUUGAUUUUUUUUCUUUCGUGUCUAAUACAUGAUGGUCAAACUCAAGAUUGAGAUGUUGAAGGGACAUUUUACCUAUAAGCGAAAGCAAGAGUCGAGUAAAGGAUGUCGAGGUUAAAAGCGCUUUUCGUUUCAACAGGUUAACUGGAUGGUGUGAGCUAUUAUUUGUCUAAUAAAUAUAAUUGUCGUCAGUUAUCUAUUAAGUCCCACUCACGAAAUUUUGGCCAGUUUGACUUUUGAUAUUUUUCUCGUUAUAAAGAUGGAAUUGUUGAUACAAAUUACGGCUAACGGACUAAUGCUGUUUAAGCUAACGUAUGCUGUUGAUGGUUUCUUGAAAAGCUAAUAAGAGUUCCAUUUGUUGAUCACAGUUUAAUGGGAAAACAUUAUCAUGAAAUUGCCUGUUCGUCCCUCAUAUUUUUCUCAACAACACAUUUCCGGAUAAUUUAGAAUCCACCGAACCUUGUCCUUUCUGUUAACCUGAUCAAACAGUUUGAUUUAAAUUCAUUGUGAAAUUACCAUAAACGGGAUAAAGUCAACUUCUAGUUAAAUUCAAUUUAGUCAUCAAGAUUUAUGAGGAUCGGAUGUAUUCAGAGGUUGUUUAAUGUUACUAAAUGAUUUUGCUUAGACAUGACAAAAGUUUAAUUUCAAUUGAUUUAUUUAUCAAGCGAUCCAAGACUGACACCAUUCUUCUAACCACCACUUUACUGAUUUUAAAUGGUAAAUAGCUUUUCAGGCUAAACAAGCGUUCCUACAUUCAUUUUGUUGGCUAAUUUUGGUUGGACACUUUUUCAAGGCGACAUGACACUUGGCUCUCAUCACCAGUCCAAUUAAUGUUAACAUCAACAUGCAAUCUGCAAGCAGAAAGUAGCUGCCAUAAAUAAUAAACAUAUCAUCAGUAAUAUCAUGAGGAUGCUGUUUCAUUGCCAGUUUAUUUGUUGAAAAAAAGGUCCAACCAGCAAAAGAGAAGGAUUUUAAUAUUUAUAAUUUACUAUUUAGUAUAUUUUAGUCACGCAAUCAACAAUCAGUUUGAUCCUCUGAAUUCAAAGUAAUCACAUUUAUUUAUUUAUUUAUCCAUUUCUAGCUUGUUUAUCACCAUUUAACAAACCCUGUUAAUUGAAUUAAAUUAUAAACCAGUCAUCUGUAUUCAACGAAAGAUGAAAUGACCAAGUAAAAGGUGCCAACUGGAACUAGCCAAGGAAAGGAACCAAGCAAAGCCAAGCUGAAAAUUGAUUGAUAUUAGCAAUGAAUCGCAACAUUGUAUUCGCAUAAACCUUACAUCAAACUGCAUCCCUAAAUAGCAUUUAAUGUCAACCAAAAGCAAUUGCAAGAUGAGAAAUGAUGCAAGGUAAAAGGAGAUAAAGGUAAAUCUUGCAACAAAAAAAAGAGUAGGAAAGAAGAGAAGAAAAAAUAAUUUCAAGAAUGAUACUUAUGAUGGAAGCGAAUAGGAAAACGAGAAUGAUAAUGACGCUAAAUCCCAAGUAAAACAGUUAUCCUAAUACUCCUACAUUGGCAAGGGAAGAAGAUUAUUCAAAGCAAUUACCUUAACUAAGUUCAAUUAAUUUGGCUAAAAUUGACUGUUUUUUGCUUGUUUUUCAUCAUCAACAAGUAAAAUCAAAAGAAGCUCAAAACGACUUAUAUCUCAACUUGAAGUCUAUCAAUUGAGAAUCUCAAUUUCCCUUGCUGCUUAAUUUACCUUUAAGAUGAAUUUCUUUCUACUCUCAUUAUCAUCAUUAUCAUCAUUAUUACCAAAUCCAUUGAUUCUUUGAUAGUAAACAAUUUUCAAUAUAA